UAUCCCGUGAGGGAGGGAUACAGGAGUUGGGGGCUGCCGGAUGGCUGCUAACGGGGGCGGUCUCAGCCGAGACCAAUCCCUACGGAGACAGAAAAGAGCGUUUGCUUCUCCCAGAAAGCGUGUACCCAGGAGCAGCGGUCGGGACUGGAGCCGGGUCCGCGCUGCCGAGGCUGGCGCCAGGCAGAAGAUGGCGGGCGAGGCCGUUGCUCCGAGGAGGUGGUGCCUCCCGCCGCUCCCCGCGGACUUACCGGCCAAAGCCCUGGCCGGCCGUGCCUGCCGUUCCUAGCACCGCUCCUGGGCGUGCUGGGGCUGGCCUACCCGAGACACGGUGUCUCUCCGGGCCGGAGCAGCGCGGGGCAGGCGGGAGUCUCCAUUGUGAGAGCCAUCGAACAGCCUGUGCAGAGCCUGGAAUGCCCUCCUGAAGCGGGAUGACUGUUGCCAGCAAAGAGCACACUGCUUGCUGAGGGCAUAGACUUCCAUCUGGCAAGGUCCCAUCACCGACUCUGGACUUCACCGCAGCCCCAGACCCUCCAGCUAUCACUCAGCCUUGGAUAUUGCCAGCAUCCACCAACAGUCCUGGACCUGCCCAGCUUCUGUCAUGCAACCCUGGACCCUGGUGCUUCUUUCAGCUCCCAUUACCUCCCAUCAGGACCCAGUCAGCUCCCAUCACCCAUCUCUGGACUCAGCAAGUGCCUAGGCCCCAGCCCUUGGCUCCCAGGGACUCCAAAUGGAGCAAACCUGGCAUCCUCAGCACCGAAACCUCACACAUGCAGUGUUCUGAAUCGUGCCUCAGUCUUCAUGAGCGGAAUGAUGCCCUGCUGGGGUCAGGAUUUUCACCCGCUGGACCCCAGCUAGAUGUUUUUCUUCACCAGAUAGAAGGAGGGCAGCUCGAGUCCUGUAGAGGAUUUUGUACACAGUUAGCUAGCUAACAAAGAUCAUGCUGGAAUAAUACCGUUAGUUAAGCAAGAAGGAGACGAGGAUAGGAGUCAGAAAUCAGUGUCUAAAAGCAGCAAGGUCACUGUGCCCUUGCUGAAACGUGAGGUUGUGGGAGA